CAGUAGCCGCGGUAAUACGAGGGGAGCUAGCGUUGUUCGGAAUUACUGGGCGUAAAGCGCGCGUAGGCGGCUUUUUAAGUCAGAGGUGAAAGCCCGGGGCUCAACCCCGGAAUUGCCUUUGAAACUGGAAAGCUAGAAUCUUGGAGAGGUCAGUGGAAUUUCGAGUGUAGAGGUGAAAUUCGUAGAUAUUCGGAAGAACACCAGUGGCGAAGGCGACUGACUGGACAAGUAUUGACGCUGAGGUGCGAAAGCGUGGGGAGCAAACAGGAUUAGAUACCCCAGUAGUCCCUGUCUCUUAUAC
rnacentral:rRNA from 1 species